rnacentral:tRNA from 1 species
GGAUGUAUGCCGGAGUGGUUAAACGGACUCGCUUGGAAAGCGUGAGGCUUACGGGCCACGUAGGUUCAAAUCCUACUGCAUCCGCCA